rnacentral:rRNA from 1 species
UUGAUCCUGGCUCAGGACGAACGCUGGCGGCGUGCCUAACACAUGCAAGUCGAACGGACUAAUGUUUGACACUGAAUGCUUUGGAAAGAUUGGUUCAGGGUCAAGCCGCGUGACGCGACCGAAGGGAGCGUCCAAGGCCAUCAAAAAAGCCAACACAUGAAAACAAGAACAUUCAGUGUUGAACAUUAUUUAAUGGCGGACGGGUGAGUAACGCGUGGAUAAUCUGCCCAUAAGUGGGGGAUAACAGUUGGAAACGACUGCUAAUACCGCAUAUGCUGAUUUAUCACUAAAGGAGGCCUCUUAACAAUGCUUUCGCUUAUGGAUGAACCCGCGUCUGAUUAGCUAAUUGGUGGGGUAAAGGCCUACCAAGGCAACGAUCAGUAGCCGGCCUGAGAGGGUGGACGGCCACACUGGGACUGAUACACGGCCCAGACUCCUACGGGAGGCAGCAGUGGGGAAUAUUGCGCAAUGGGGGAAACCCUGACGCACCGACGCCGCGUGAGCGAUGAAGGCCUUAGGGUUGUAAAGCUCUGUUUUAAGGUACCGAAUGUUACAGGGAGUAUAUGUCCUGUAAAUGACGGUACUUAGAGGAAGACCCCGCUACUACGUGCAGCAGCCGCGUAAGAGUAGGGGGCGAGCGUUGUCCGAAUUACUGGGCGUAAAGAGCACGUAGGCGGAGAUUAAGUCAGGUGUGAAAGACCGGGCUCAACCCCGGGGUUGCACUUGAAAUGGGUCCCUUGAGGGCAGGAGAGGAAAGCAGAAUUCUGGUGUAGCGGUGAAAUGCGUAGAAAUCAGGAGGAAUACCAGUGGCGAAGCGGCUUUUGACUGACCCGACGCUGAGUGCGAAAGCGUGGGUAGCAAACAGGAUUAGAUACUGUAGUCCACCCGUAAACGAUGGAUACUAGGUGUGGGAGGUAUCACCCCUUCCGUGCCGCAGCUAACGCAAUAGUAUCCCGCCUGGGGAGUACGGUCGCAAGGCUGAAACUCAAAGGAAUUGACGGGGGCCCGCACACGGUGGAGCAUUGUGUUAAUUGAUGCAACGGAAGACCCUACAGGUCUUGGACAUUCCAAAGAAUCCUAUCGAAAGGUAGGAGUGCCUUCGGGAGCUUUGAGACAGGUGGUGCAUGGUUGUCGUCAGCUCGUGUCGUGAGAUGUUGGGUUAAGUCCCGCAACGAGCGCAACCCUUGCCACUAGUUGAUAACAGGUUAAGAUGAGCACUAUAAUGGGACUGCCGGUGACAAGCCGGAGGAAGGUGGGGAUGACGUCAAAUCAUCAUCCCCUUCAUGACCUGGGCUACACACGUGCUACAAUGGAUGGUACAGAGAGCAGAGAGACCGUGAGGUGGAGGGAAUCUCAAAAAGCCAUUCUCAGUUCGGAUUGGAGUCUGCAACUCG